GGCAUGUUGCCAGAGUGGUUAAUGGGUAAGACUUGAAUUCAAUCAUGAAUUAAGCUAUCUUAUGACUUCGGUCGCGUAGGUUCAAAUCCUGCACAUGUCG
rnacentral:tRNA from 1 species